GUGUAGGGUGAGAUUUUGUAUUGUAAUCUCUAUUACAUGUGAUGUUCUGAACUCUUAAAAAUACUCGCAUCAUCUUUGAUUUUUUCAGACCUGAAAAAUGGCCAAGCCGUACCAGCCAGACCUCAGACCACGGUGCAGAGGAGCUCUUGCGGAGUCCAUCAGGACGAAGAGAAAUUCAUACAGCAAGGCAGAGUGUGGAAAGCAGUAGAGAUCUACAAAAUGGCGGACGGAGGACGGAUCUGAGGACAAAGUCAUGAGGUCGCUGCAUCCAGGACCUACUGCCAGUCAUCCAGAUGUAGCUA